rnacentral:misc_RNA from 1 species
AUGUCAUCUCUUGAAGAGAUGAUGAUAGAUUGAGUGUGGGAUUGGAGAAUGGUAUGUGGGGUAUGCGAAUGUAUGUUUGCUAUCCUGAAAGGGGAGAUAUAUGAGUAGGAAUACAUGUUCUACAUCAUUUACCUAUGAUAGACCACCUCAAUUUAUCAAGAAGACCCGCUGAACUUAA